rnacentral:rRNA from 1 species
GCCUUACAUGCAGUCGAGCGGACAGAAGGGAGCUUGCUCCCGGAUGUUAGCGGCGGACGGGUGAGUAACACGUGGGUAACCUGCCUGUAAGACUGGGAUAACUCCGGGAAACCGGAGCUAAUACCGGAUAGUUCCUUGAACCGCAUGGUUCAAGGAUGAAAGACGGUUUCGGCUGUCACUUACAGAUGGACCCGCGGCGCAUUAGCUAGUUGGUGAGGUAACGGCUCACCAAGGCGACGAUGCGUAGCCGACCUGAGAGGGUGAUCGGCCACACUGGGACUGAGACACGGCCCAGACUCCUACGGGAGGCAGCAGUAGGGAAUCUUCCGCAAUGGACGAAAGUCUGACGGAGCAACGCCGCGUGAGUGAUGAAGGUUUUCGGAUCGUAAAGCUCUGUUGUUAGGGAAGAACAAGUGCAAGAGUAACUGCUUGCACCUUGACGGUACCUAACCAGAAAGCCACGGCUAACUACGUGCCAGCAGCCGCGGUAAUACGUAGGUGGCAAGCGUUGUCCGGAAUUAUUGGGCGUAAAGGGCUCGCAGGCGGUUUCUUAAGUCUGAUGUGAAAGCCCCCGGCUCAACCGGGGAGGGUCAUUGGAAACUGGGAAACUUGAGUGCAGAAGAGGAGAGUGGAAUUCCACGUGUAGCGGUGAAAUGCGUAGAGAUGUGGAGGAACACCAGUGGCGAAGGCGACUCUCUGGUCUGUAACUGACGCUGAGGAGCGAAAGCGUGGGGAGCGAACAGGAUUAGAUACCCUGGUAGUCCACGCCGUAAACGAUGAGUGCUAAGUGUUAGGGGGUUUCCGCCCCUUAGUGCUGCAGCUAACGCAUUAAGCACUCCGCCUGGGGAGUACGGUCGCAAGACUGAAACUCAAAGGAAUUGACGGGGGCCCGCACAAGCGGUGGAGCAUGUGGUUUAAUUCGAAGCAACGCGAGAACCUUACCAGGUCUUGACAUCCUCUGACAACCCUAGAGAUAGGGCUUUCCCUUCGGGGAC